rnacentral:tRNA from 1 species
UUCUUAAUAAUUUAUAAAAAAUAUCUACUUUGGAUGUAGAAAAAUCUUUU